GUAACGGCGAGUGAAGCGGCAACAGCUCAAAUUUGAAAUCUGGCCUCUGGCCCGAGUUGUAAUUUGCAGAGGAUGCUUUUGGUGAGGUGCCUUCCGAGUUCCCUGGAACGGGACGCCAUAGAGGGUGAGAGCCCCGUCUGGUUGGACACCGAGCCUCUGUAAAGCUCCUUCGACGAGUCGAGUAGUUUGGGAAUGCUGCUCUAAAUGGGAGGUAUAUGUCUUCUAAAGCUAAAUACCGGCCAGAGACCGAUAGCGCACAAGUAGAGUGAUCGAAAGAUGAAAAGCACUUUGAAAAGAGGGUUAAACAGUACGUGAAAUUGUUGAAAGGGAAGCGCUUGUGACCAGACUUGGGCUUGGUUAAUCAUCCAGCGUUCUUCGCUGGUGCACUUGGCCGGCCCAGGCCAGCAUCAGUUCGGCGCGGGGGACAAAGGCUCUGGGAAUGUGGCUCCCCCGGGAGUGUUAUAGCCCACUGCGUAAUACCCUGCGCUGGACUGAGGACCGCGCAUCUGCAAGGAUGCUGGCGUAAUGGUCAUCAGCGACCCGUCUUGAAACACGGACCAAGGAGUCGUCUUCGUAUGCGAGUGUUCGGGUGUCAAACCCCUACGCGGAAUGAAAGUGAACGCAGGUGAGAGCUUCGGCGCAUCAUCGACCGAUCCUGAUGUUCUCGGAUGGAUUUGAGUAAGAGCAUACGGGGCCGGACCCGAAAGAAGGUGAACUAUGCCUGUAUAGGGUGAAGCCAGAG
rnacentral:rRNA from 1 species